rnacentral:misc_RNA from 1 species
UAUAGCGUUAAAGGACAAACAUAACUGUGAAGGCCCCAACCCAAAAUUAUGAUAGUGGGGAGGCUCAGCUCAAUAUCAAAUCGCUGUAUGUUUCUUCAUGGUACAAGGCGGAGAGGCAUGAAUCCUAUACAAUGACUAGUACACAGUAUAUAAAUCCGGAUGUACAAAUCCAUCGCGAUGGCCAAUGUUCCAUGUUAAAUCAUAUGUUAAGCUAAAACAGCCAUCUGAACAGAUACAACAACACACACCUUCAUUUCUUCGCGUAAGAUCUCAAGGCAGGAAGAAGAUGAUGCAAUUCAAAUUGUGCGUCCAUCAAGCAGCGAAAAAUGGUCAUAUCACUCUAGAAGUUGCAGCAAUGGGCCUUACCCUUGAGUAAAUUGUUCCACAGACAGAACAUCUGUCGUGGAGACUGAUAAUGAGCCGUGAAAUAGUCUUCCAUACACCCAUAUUGACAGAACUUCCAGUUGUGAGAGUACUGUACAGGAGUUGAACUGUUGUAACUCUCAACCCACAUACCCAUGCUCACAUCCUCCAUUUUGAAGAUCCGCAAGCUUUGGUUCCGAUAUUGAGA